rnacentral:rRNA from 1 species
UACGUAGGGUGCGAGCGUUGUCCGGAAUUAUUGGGCGUAAAGGGCUCGUAGGCGGUUUGUCGCGUCGGGAGUGAAAACCAGGUGCUUAACACCUGGCUUGCUUUCGAUACGGGCAGACUAGAGGUAUUCAGGGGAGAACGGAAUUCCUGGUGUAGCGGUGAAAUGCGCAGAUAUCAGGAGGAACACCGGUGGCGAAGGCGGUUCUCUGGGCCGAUACUGACGCUGAGGAGCGAAAGCGUGGGGAGCGAACAGG